UACGAAGGGGGCUAGCGUUGCUCGGAAUCACUGGGCGUAAAGGGUGCGUAGGCGGGCCUUUAAGUCAGGGGUGAAAUCCUGGAGCUCAACUCCAGAACUGCCUUUGAUACUGAAGAUCUCGAGUUCGGGAGAGGUGAGUGGAACUGCGAGUGUAGAGGUGAAAUUCGUAGAUAUUCGCAAGAACACCAGUGGCGAAGGCGGCUCACUGGCCCGAUACUGACGCUGAGGCACGAAAGCGUGGGGAGCAAACAGG
rnacentral:rRNA from 1 species